rnacentral:tRNA from 1 species
UGGUGGCUAAUCUAAUCAAGAUACUCGAUUUCGGCUCGAGCAACAGCGGUUUGAGUCCGCUGCCGUCGUA